GCCAGCAGCAGUCCAGAGAAGACUAACAGGCACAGUCUACCUCAAUGGAAGGAACUAAAACAUGGACAGGCUUCUAGCAAGUACCAACCUCAUCAGACAAGCAAAGACAUCAGGCCCAAACAAACGAAAGAUAAAGUAGUGACUUUUCCAGUCACAUCCAGCUUGUCAUGGUCCUGACUUCACCUGGCAUCUCUUCAAUAUCAAUGGACACAGCCCUCUAAUUCAUCGUUACCUCCAGAGCUGCAAUGCUGAACCACGCUCUGGGCAGGACAUCUUGAUACGCAGAAGAGAGAUCUCUAACCCU